CCUACGGGUGGCAGCAGUGGGGAAUAUUGGACAAUGGGCGAAAGCCUGAUCCAGCAACGCCGCGUGAAGGAAGAAGGCCUUCGGGUUGUAAACUUCUGUUCUUCGGGAAGAACAGAUGACGGUACCCAAGGAGGAAGCCCCGGCUAACUACGUGCCAGCAGCCGCGGUAAUACGUAGGGGGCAAGCGUUAUCCGGAUUUAUUGGGUGUAAAGAGUAUGUAGGGGGCAAGCUAAGCGGAGGGUUAAAGGCAAUGGCUCAACCAUGGUUCGCACUUGGAACUGGCCGUCUUGAGUGCAGGAGAGGAAGGCGGAAUUCCUAGUGUAGCGGUGAAAUGCGUAGAUAUUAGGAGGAACACCAGUGGCGAAGGCGGCUUUCUGGACGGUAACUGACACUGAGGUACGAAAGCGUGGGGAGCAAACAGGAUUAGAUACCCUAGUAGUC
rnacentral:rRNA from 1 species